CCUGCGCAAAUCAAUAGAGCUGAUUUUGCUCUAAAUAUAGCAAGUUUGUGUUUACCUGUUGCACGCAACCUUACUUUGCGUGAUUUUUUUACUAAAAGCGGGAUUUAAAAUAGCUUUUAAGUUGAAUUUGUGCAUAAAGUUUGCUGAGCGGCAUAAUUGUGGCAUUUGUUCAGAAUGAUCAACCCGCGAUGGUGUGCACUGUGCAAGCCAAACAACAGGCAUAUAAUCUCCUACGGCCUACGGGAACAGAACCAGAUUUCAGGACUACGUGCUGCUUUCACGUAGCCCCGAUAGAGGGCGUUGCAUCAAGUUAAAGGCAUUCCUAGGACGCAGAUCAGCAAGAGUCUUUCAAUAAUCCUUUAUUAAUAGUAUUUCAGUAUGGCGUUCACAGCUGCUAUCAGCACCAGGCGAAAAUCAAGUUGCUACAAAAUCAGAUCGGCUGAUGCAGGUCCAGCGUAUAGAAAUUA